GCUUGGGCCCUGGGUGGCAGGUUUGCGCAGCCCUGCGGCGAUUUCAAGGCAAGUGACCGGAAUGGGUCGGAAGCGCGUCCCGUGAAAUCAAACCAGAAAUCAAAAAUGGAAGGAUAGGUGGCUGGCAAGAUGGUUGAAUAGGAACAGCUCCGGUCUGCAGUUCCCAGUGAGAUCAACACAGAAGGACUGUCCAUGCUUCAAUCAUUUCUAUCCAAUGAAAUCUCUACAGAAGGCCCAAGGGGACUGAUGAGUCUCCCUCUGAUGCCGAGCCGAAGCUGGACUGUACUGCUGCCAUCUCGGCUCACUGCAACCUCCCUGCCUGAUUCUCCUGCCUCAGCCUGCGAUUGCAGGCACGCACCGCCACGCCUGACUGGUUUUCGUAUUUUUUUUUGGUGGAGACGGGGUUUCGCUGUGUUGGCCGGGCUGGUCUCCAGCUCCUAACCACGAGUGAUCUGCCAGCCUCGGCCUCCCGAGGUGCCAGGAUUGCAGACGGAGUCUCGUUCACUCAGUGCUCAAUGUUGCCCAGGCUGGAAUGCAGUGGCAUGAUCUCGGCUAGCUACAACCUCCACCUCCCAGCUGCCUGCUUUGGCCUCCCAAAGUGCCGAGAUUGUAGCCUCUGCCCGGCCACCACCCGGUCUGGGAAGUGAGCGUCUCUGCCUGGCCACCCAUCAUCUGGGAUGUGAGAAGCCCCUCUGCCCGGCUGCCCAGCCUGGGAAGUGAGGAGUGCCUCUUCCUGGCCGCCAUCAUGUCUAGGAAGUGAGGAUCAUCUCUGCCCGGCCGCCAAUUGUCUGAGAUGUGGGGAGCGCCUCUGCCCCGCCGCCCCGUCUGGGAUGUGAGGAGCGCCUCUGCCCAGCCGCGACCCCAUCUGGGAGGUGAGGAGCGUCUCUGCCCGGCCACCCCGUCUGAAGUGAGGAGCCCCUCCGCCCGACAGCCGCCCCAUCUGAGAAGUGAGGAGCCCCUCCGCCUGGCAGCCGCCCCGUCUAGGAA